rnacentral:rRNA from 1 species
AUUGAACGCUAGCGGGAUGCUUAACACAUGCAAGUCGAACGAGUGGCGGACGGGUGAGUAAUAUAUCGGCACGUGCCCAGUUGAGGGGGAUAAUUACCCGAAAGAGUGGCUAAUAAUGCAUACUAUUGGAACGGCCGAUAUCGGUUUCGUGAGUUGGUGGGGUAAAGGCUCACCAAGGAAACGAUCCGUAGCUGGGUUGAGAGGAAGACAAGCCACACUGGAACUGAGACACGGCCCAGACUCCUACGGGAGGCAGCAGUGGGGAAUUUUGGACAAUGGGAGAAACCCUGAUCCAGACAUGCCGCGUGUAUGAGAAGGCCGUCGGGUUGUAAAGUACUUUUGGCAAGGAAGCGGUAUCUGCAGAAUAAGCACCGGCUAACUACGUGCCAGCAGCCGCGGUAAUAC